GGCUGGUGUGGUGUUUACAAUUAAUUGAUCACAACCAAUUAUAUAUUUCUUUGUCCCUUCUCCUAUUGAUUCACUUGACUAGCCUUAA
ensembl:misc_RNA Y_RNA Y RNA